AGCACAGUUUCUAGUACUCAGUAAGGUCACAGUAAAUGAACUUUGAACAAAUAUAUUGAAUACUUAUAAGAUAGUCCCUGGGUUCAAGCAGCAUCAGGCAAAAUGAAUUUCAAAAUCCAGAUGUGUGGAAGAAGUAUCGCUAACUAGAGCUUCAGCAAACCCUGUUUAUGUUACUUCACAUAACAUUUGACAUGAAAGGAAAAGGAGAGGGAGAAAUACAUACAUCGGCUUUAGUAGGCUUCAGUUCUAAAUUCUCCAGGAAAAGAGAAAGUUGGUCGUUCAAAACUCACUCUCUGCGAUUGCUGUGCCUUCAAGUAGAUGAUUCCGUGAAAAUCCGCUGAGCAACUAUGAUGUCGCAAGUCCUGAGCCAGACCUGGGAGAGCUGUGGUUCUUGCCUGCAUAUAAACGUUGGUAGAUACAUGGCUACUAAUGAGAUUCCAUCUAAUCGUUCUUACUGUCCCCUGAAAACUGUAGGACUCAUUCUGCACUAAAAAUUUCUCUCAUCCAUAAGUAAUGUAGUAUUUACCAAGCACUCAGGACUCCCAAUGCACCGACUUCUACCCACAUGGGCAAUAGUGGUCAAGUGACACUGACUACCAAGCUACCAAGACGCUUGUUCUUCUCUGUUAAACAUGAAUUUUCCCCAGAUCCUGUAUCUCUGGUGACUCUGGUCUUUCGUGAAAUCUAGACUUGGAUAUCCAGUAGGAAGACGAACGUAAAAUCGUUGUCUCAGAAUUAGUAUGUCCAACAUCAUAUUUUACAUACACUCUCUAUCCUUUUUCCUAUGGUCUUCAUCCAAGAUAUUCCCUCACCGCUUACUCAGUUGUUCAUCACAGUUCCCAGGAAUUACUGCAAUCCCUUUUCUUUAACUUCCACAGCUAAUUUCUUAUCUGUUCGUUCCAAAUGCACUUUGAAGAAAUCUACUCUAUUCCACCUUCAUUGCUACUCCUCUAGUCCAAGCUCCCACUGUCACCAAUCUGGACACUAUGAUACCCAUCUUGUUGACGUUACUCCACCACUCUUGUCUUGCUACACACCAUUCAACACUAAUGGAAGGCUACUACUGAAAGCACAUUGCUCUGGGGGAAAAAAAUCAUUUAAUUGCCGUCCAUUGGAUGUUUACUUAAAAUUUAAACUUCAGGCAUGGCCUAAAAUGUGAUCUCUCAGCUGAUUAUCGAA